AGCUACCUACCAACGAUUGGUGAA
rnacentral:siRNA from 1 species